UGUCCCAGCCAGGCUCGGCGGCUGUGGGACUAACCCCGGCUCCAGCGUGGGGCACUGCGUGCGGCCUGCGGAUGGGGGGAGAAAGAGGGAGGGCAGCAGUGGAGCCAGGCAGGGCGGCGCCGCGGCCGUGUUCGGCUCCAGGGGCGGUCGCUUGGCGGCCUCCCCUCAGGGACAGGCUUGCGGGGCGGCCCCGGUGGUGCUAUGGAGGGAGAGGCUGAGAAGGCACCGCUGUGCAGCGCUGUGGGCCGCGGUGUCCCGGAGUACGGGUGUGCGAGAGGGGCCGGGGCCGCCUGUGGGCACGGGCAGGCCGUCGGGUCACUAUGUUGUAUUUGGUUUGCGUGGUUUUUGCCCCAUAACAGUGUGACGGUGACUCGGUGUCCCGGGGCGAUAGGAGGAGGCUGCGGCGUCGUGCUGCGGCCCGUCGGCGGUGCUGGGCGUGGGCCCGCGAUCUGCGCAGCAAGCCUCGAGAGCAGCCCCGCCAGCGAGGCGGGCUCUCGGGCGAGCAGCAGAGGCCAGAAUCCCAUUGUACUGAGGACAAUAGACUUGUGGGCCCUGGCUCGUAGUAUACAAUCAAUGGGUCAAGAAGCUGGCAAAACUACCUGGCCCAAAUCAUCAAGAAGAUAUCGGACUAUUACAGGUAGAAGAUAUGGAAGAAGGUAUGCCUAUGUUGGUUUUACACCAUCUUCGAAUAGCCAGGUCAGAGACGAACAUCAACAUAAUGAAGACUGCAAACAAUUAGAAUUGGAGGAUAUUCAGAAAGAGAAUUCUUUACGUCCCAGUCCACCGGUUCAAGUUUCUUCUGGUUUAUUAGAUGAGCCUUUGUUAGAAAAUACUGGAACUGGAGAACCUCUUUGCGAAAGCGUAUCAAGCCAAACUUUGGAAGCGAACACAUCGCCAUUUUCUCUAUUCUCCUAUGGUCUGGAAGGCAACCAAAUCUCAGGGAACUUUAUGAAUCCUUACGAAAAUUCUGAGGACCUUGUAGAGUAUGCGACUGAUGGGUGUAAUGUUUGGAAUGGUCAAAAUGGAAUUGCUUUUGUAAACGUGGACUCUUAUGAGCCAGAUGGUGGUGAUAGAGAAGAUCCUGCUCAAGACGAAUUUUCUUUGGGAACAGAAGAAGCAGUUGUGUUUCGCGAAACAAUAAAUAAAAUAUUUUCCGAGUUUGAAAAAGGCAUAGAGUCUUUUACUGAAUUACAAUCUCAAUCGUCCAAUCUCAAUCACAGUGUUACUAGAGAAUGUUGUGAAGAAACAGGACCAAUGCCUUUAAUGAGAUAUUUUAGCAUAGAUUCAGACUUGGCAUGUCCAAACAACAGGACAUUUAAAACAUCUGCUGAAGAUCAAGCUAUACUGAAAAGUAACCCAAGUGAUGCUGUUCAUGAGCUACAGCAGAUAAAAAAUAUUUCAACAGAGAGUGUUGAAAUCCAAGCCCCUAUAGCAAUUGCUAAUGAGUUAAAUGUUAGUGAGGACCAGGGAAAUUCACUUGAACUAGUAGUGAGACCUAAAAUAAGAAAACAAAAUACUUCAAACCAGUUGGAGAGAGAGAGGCUUCUUCUUAAUGAUAAGGAAGGGGAAAAUAGUUCCUGGAGAAGUGAAAUUGAUGAAGUUCAGCAAGGGUGUGCUGAAUGUGCCUUAAACAGCAAAGAGAUGAGUUCUAGUAUGUUCUUUGGCUCCAGAGGGCAUGAAGGUCAUCGAAAGAACACAGAACUAAGGAAAAAUGCAGCAGCUCAAGAACGAAAAGGUAUUCUGGAAGAUAACACCUUUUGGGAUGGUUUCGAAGACUGCAGCAGACACUUCUCAAUGUACCACAAAGAUGAAGACAGGACCAUUGUAUAUGGCUUAAGGGCUAUGAGAGCUUUUAAGUUUUGUCUGGCUGAGAGCUCAGAAUGCAGUGAUGGAGAAUGGUCUGCAGGUGCACCUACCUAUUUUACUGCUACAGAAAAAGACCACUCAAGUGAUGAGAGCUGGGAAACUAUUCCACGCAGGGAGAAAUGUGAGCCUGAAGUGCAGAACAGCAGCAGCAAUGGUGUGGAAGAGGAGAACAAAGACUACUGUUCACAAGGAGGGUGUGGUUUUAUUAGCUAACUUCCUGUAAUUCUGACAUGUAACAUGGUAUCCACAUGACACCAUGCAGAGUAACAAACUGUAAAAGUAGUUACUGUACUAGCAAUAAUAAUUUGCCUACAUUUAAAAUUAUCUGAAUGCUUAUAUGUAUUUCAAAUCUGGAAAAAAUGGCAUGUCAUGUAAACAUUUCUAUUUAAUGAAAGAUUCAGAAAUAAUGAGAGGGCAUUGACAUGUAGAUUUAACAGGGAUAAUAGACUUGAUGUACUGACUUUAAAAAACUAUAUUAUGCCAGUUAAUUGUAAAGACAUACAUGUUGCAUACACAUCUUUUGAUACUUCUUGGUACUCCUCAAAAAGCAAUUGUUUAUCUUUGCUUUAUUGAUGCCCUUUAUUCCUGCAGCCCUGUCAGUGGUUAAAGUAAACUUGAACUACUUAUUUACUGAGAACUUACUAGAAUCGUCGAAUCACAAAAUGGUUUGGGUUGGAAGGGACCCUAAAUAUAAUCUGGUUCUAAACCAUCUGCCAUGGCCAGGACACCAUCCACCGGACUAGACUGCUCAAAACCCCAUCUAACCCAGCCUUGAACACUUCCAGGGAUGGGGCAUCCACCACCUCCCUGGGCAACCUGUGCCAGUGUCUCACCACUCUCACAGUGAAGAACUUUUUUCCUAAUAUCUAAACUUCCACUCUGUCAGCUUAAAGCCAUUCCCCCAGUCCUGUCAUUAUAGGCCUUCCUGAAGAGUCUCUCCCCAUCUUUCUUAUGGGCCCUUUUUAAGUACUGAAAGGCCACAAUGAGGUCUCCCUGGAGACUUGUCUUCUCCAGGCUGAACAACCCCAGCUAUCUCAGCCUUUCCUCAUCAGAGAGGUACUCCAUUCCUCUGAUCUUUUUUGUGGCCCUCCUCUGGACCCUCUCCAACAGGUCUAUGUCCUUAUGUUGGGAUCCCCUGAGAUGAAUGCCGUGCUCCAUGUGGAGUCUCCCCAGAGUGGAGUAGAGGGGUAGAAUCCCCUCCCUCGAUCUGCUGGCCAUGCUGCUGAGGACGCAGCCCAGGACACAGUUGGUUUUCCGGGCUGUGAAAGCAUACUACCGGCUCAUGUUGAGCUUCUCUUAAACCAAGACCUUCAAGUCCUUCUUCUUAGGGUUGCUCUGAAUCACUUCUUUGCCCAGCCUGUGUUUGUGCUUGGGAUUGCGCUCAACCAGGUGCAGGGCAUUGCACUUGACCUUGUUGAACUUCACGAGGCUGGCAUUGGCCCACCUCUCAGGCAUGUCAAGGUCUCUCUGGAUGGCAUCCCUUCCCUCCAGUGUAUCGACUGCACCACAUAGUUUGGUGUCAUUGGCGAACUUGCUUAGGGUGCAUCAGUCCCACUGCCCCUAUUGCCAACAAAGAUGUUGAAAACCAUGAGUCCCAAUACCAACCCCAGAGGGAUACCACUUGUUGCUGAUCUCCACUUGGACAUUAAGCCAUUGACCACAACUCUUUGAGUGUGACCAUCCAGCUAAUUUCUUAUCCGCUGAGUGGUCCCUCUGUCAAAUCCAUGCUUCCUUCAAUUUAUAGAUGAAGAUGUUGUGUGGGGCAGUGUCAAAUGCCUUGCACAAGUCCAGGUAGAUGACGUCAAUCACUCUUCAUUUACCUGCCAAUGCCAUGACUUAAUCUUCAAAGGCCACCAAAUCUGUCAGGUAUGAUUUGCCCUUAGUCACUGACCAGUGACAGGAUGAGGAGCAAUGGCCAUAAACUGAAACACAAGAAGUUUCACCUCAACAUCCGUAAGAACUUCUUUACAUUGGGAGUGGCAGAGCACUGGAACAGGCUGCCCAGGGGGUUGUGGUGACAUUCAAAACCCGCCCGAACACAUUCCUGUGUAACCUGCUCUGGGUGGUCCUGCCUUGGCAGGGAGUUGGACCAGAUGAUCUCCAGAGGUCCCAAUCCCAACCAUUCUGUGAUUUUAUCAGAUCUGCACCUUAUUGACUUCUGCACUUUCAGAUUCCUUAGAUGAUCUUAAACCUCAUCUAUUCUACCAUGAGCAGUUCUUCAUUCUCCCAGUCCCUGCCUGUGCAUUCUGUGGCUUGGGUGGUUUUGGUUUAGAUGCUUUGUGGAAAGAAAAAAAAAAUUGAUCAUUUAUUUUUAGUUUGGGUUUUUAUAAAGCAACAAGCCAUGCCUACGUAUUCUUUCUGUUUCUUCCACUCGUAUGUAGACAAUACCUAUUACAAGUAGUCCAAAUGGCUGAUACUGCUUUUUUUAACAUUGCUUUCUGUUAAGUUUUGGAGAAUUAGUGUGACUUUAUGAAAACAUUAUCAAAACUCAUCUGUUUCAGAAAGGUUCAUGUUUUUGAUGUGAACAGCCUGCAAAUGUACCCAUUUCUAACAUGAUUCCUGUUUAUUUGUCUUUUCAUAAGGAAAGUAGACUUGCAGCUCUGUGGCUUUAAACAUUCAGGUGAUUUGUGCUCUUCUAGAAAACACAGGAACGAGAGGAAUCUUACUCCUUAUGCAAAUAGAUUUUCUUGCGAAUAAUAUCUUUUUUCAUUUGAGCCAAGCUUCCCCAUGAAGGCUGUUCCAGGAUGUUAAGAUAGCUUUUCUUUUUAGCAGCUUUACAGACUUCUGGAUGAAUAAGAAAAGUUUAGUACCAAACUUACUAGCCCUGGCAGGGAUACUGCCUGUACUAGGGAAAAUGCAAAACAAGAUGCUUACUGUACUACUGGCCUUGAGGAUUAGACUAAUUUUGCCAUAGAAUCAUGGUGUUACUAGAUUCUGAAUCUGGAGUUGAUACCACUGGGAAUUUCUUUGGGUUUUUUACAGCAAGUGAUAAAUUCUUGAUAUGGGCUCUGCAGUCUGGGAAACAUGCAUCUUCAACCCUUGCAAUAUGUGUAACUUUUGUUACUUGCAUGUGUUUGUAAAUUCUGCUAGCUCUUUAGUUUUAGCUUUUCAUUUAUUUAUUUGAAGGGAACAGACAUUAUUGGAGGAAGGAGAGAUUCCUCGGUUGCAAUACCAAGAAGAAGCAGAAAAUAUCAGUGAUGAGGAAAACAACCUAAUUCAUGAUUUUGUGUAUCCUGGAUUCUUCUUGUUGGAUGGAAAUAACAAUCUUGAGGAUGAUUCCAGUGUGAGUGAAGAUCUGGAUGUGGAGUGGAGGCUACUUAAUGAGUUUGGUGAUGGCCUAGGACUUGCUCAAGCUGUUCCCGAUGUGGAUCCUCUCACACUUGAGGCACUAGAGGGACGCUUACAAGAAGCUAUGGAGACUGCUCUGGCACAUUUGGAGCUUCUUGGAUUUGAUGUUGAACAGGCUCAUCCACCAGCUACUAAAGAAACCAUAGAUUCUCUGCCACAGAUUAUCAUCACAAAUGACCAAGAUGGUCAAGAGCAGCGUUGUACAAUCUGUUGCAGCGAAUAUGUGGAAAAUGAAAUCAUAACGGAGCUACCCUGUCAUCAUUUGUUUCACAGAACUUGUGUAACUCUUUGGUUACAGGAAUCGGGAACAUGCCCAGUUUGUCGUCAUGUGCUUGCCCCUGUGCCUUCUGAAACAGCUGCUGCCACAGUUUCCUUCCUACCUGAUCCUGACUCGGCAUCUUCUGUUCACAGUGUUACAGGAACUUCAAACUAGGGUCUGAAAUUCAAUCUCUGCUACCAAAAAUAAAAAUGUAAAUCUUGCCUGUUUAAUUACAAUGUGAAUAAAUUGUGUAUAAAAUAUUAUAUGUAAAAUACUAUCUAUAUUCUAUAUUUUAGUUUAGGAAAGGGGUGUAAGACUUCUGAACUCUUUAGGCUUGCAAUAAUAGCUUAAUUUUUCAAACUGCAAGUUAGAAGAAUGUGUGGCAGCCUUGUUUGAGCAGAAUGUUGCUGGUAACUAUAAUGUCUAAAGCUUGUAUUAUGAUAACUUUCUCCUGAAUGUGUCACUUUGUUCAAGUUCUUGCAGCUGCAGUGCAGUUGCAUCUUAUUAAAUGUAUGCUUAUAAUCUGUUUUUCAUAAUAAGGUGUAAUUGAAAUCUCACAUUUGUAUCAAAUGCGAAGAUGUUUUGUGAUGCCGGCAGUGGCAGAAUUUUAUUUCGCUGCAUAGAGGGCAACUCUCCCACCUCUCCUUUCUUGCUGUCCCUUCUGAAUAGCUUGUAGCCAUCAAUCACAGGAUUCCAGUCGUGGGAUUCAUUGAAUCAUAGAAUCACAGACUGAUUUGGGUUGGAAAGGACCUUAACAUCACCCACUUCUAACUCCCCAGCCAUGGGCAGAGACACCUCCCUCUAGACCAUGUUUCUGUUAAUAAAUGUGAUAUUGAUUUAAUAAGAUUCGAUGGCAAGGUGUACUUGAAUAUUUAGUGCAUAGAGGGCAGGUCAGACAAAACUGUCAGGGAGAUCCUCUGUUGAGUCACGAAGUUCUUUAAGAAGUCCCUUGCUUUCUAAACUCCUUCUCAGAGAGGAGUCUAGGUGUGGCUGGAUCCAAAUGUAGUCUCAGACUUGAUCAAAGUUUUAUGUCUAAAGGAUUAAAUAUGUGCAAUCAAUCCUUUAUAUCACUUAGCUAAGAUGUGAAAGUUUAGCAUGCUAUUAAUCACUUACUGAGAAUACGUGGCUAUAAGCUGCAAGUGCAAGGAAUCUCCCAGCCUCAAAGAGUAACCUUGAGAGGCAUCCUUACUCAAGGGAGAGCCUGGUAGGCAGCCCCCUGCCAUGUAGGAUUGCUCAAUGGGCCCUGGGCUGUCUAAUAGUUAUGGAGUGAAAUAAUUGACUCAUAGCCAUGCUUGUGUACUAAGUACAAAAACUUGGCUUCAGUUGGACUUUGACCAGGACUAUGGCUGGGCUGGGGGGUGGAGCGGUGGUGCACAUUGCUCAGAUUAGCCCUUGGCUAUUGUGUUGUUAUCUGUCUCCCCUGAAUCCACUUUGAAUCUGAUGCAGCCAUCACAACAAAGAUGCAUCAGUUACCACCACUGGUGGUUAUCACUUGAACAAUAUUAUGGGAAAUAAAGGUCAAGUUGUGGGUAAGAGCACACCAUUACAGUGCCUUCUGUGUUUGCUUUAAACAUUUAAUCCAUUUCUCUGUUGGCUCUGCUAAGACAUGGAACAGCCUGUUGUGUCUGAAGUAUCUUAAUUUCUCAGCUUUUUUUCUUCGUGUGCUUCACCAGUUGUCUUUUGGUCCUGGUUUGGAGGGCAAGUGUUCACUUGAAACUCUUGCUGGAGGCUGUUUUUCAUUUUUUCAUCUGCCUGACUUCACUAGGUGUGACUUUCAGAACUCUUCACCACUGAUUCCACUUGCUGCCUGGCACUUAGUGCACUAUUAGCUCUGGUGCUUAUUUGACAGAGCCUCAUCACAUGGUGCUGCUUUGCCCCUAGCACUUCCCUUGAAUUUACAUAAUCUACACCUAAAGCAAAUUUGCCACUUGCUUUGUGCAUGAUGUCAUUUCUUCCCCCUACCCCCCCAAAAUAAAAUUCUACUGCAUUAGUGUUGUGUCUUAGCUUUCCAGGCUUGAAUUCACUGAUCAUCAUAUUGACUUUUUACACUGUGGGAAAUGGCGUGCUCAAUAUCUGGUUAGACUUAACCAUUAACAAAACAACAAAAAAGAAGGUAAAAAACAAAGAACCGUAACAAAACACACAGACCCUACACCCCAAAGAAAAACCUUCUAGUAGCUACAGUGUGGAAAAAGCUAACAAUCUCUUUUCCGUUUUGAACAAAUAGUCCAUUUCUGCUCUGAGCACACUGAAAAUAUUUUCUUUGUGUUGCUUUUAACCUGUUCACUUGAAUUUCAUUGAGAUGGUGAGGUAGAGACAGCCUUUAGGAUGAAUUGUUAAAUCUGUAACUAUUUCCAAGAUACUACCUUUUUGGUGCAUUUUUAAAGAUACAAGAUCUCUCUUACUAUUCAGUUUUAUGACUAAUUGCAAAGUUUUACUGUGCAGAAAGUUUGGUGUUGCAACAACAGAAUUCUUCUGAACAUGAAGAUACAGUAUGUUGUAGUAUUUUGUGAGGUUUUUUUCCUACAGAGAUGAUUUACCAGUUUUGAAUUAAAAUAAUAAUGAAAUACUGCUUCAUGGGAAUAGGGUACUGGUUAUAACUUGUUGACAUGAUGAUAUGAUUUGAUAUUUGUGCUCUGUUUUACAAAACACGAUUUUGCUAAUUUCUUUUUUUGGGUUGUGUGGUUGGUUUUUUGUGUUUUUUGGUUCCUCCUUUUUUUCUUUCUCUAUUUUUUUUUUUUUUUUUUUUAGGUGGCACUAGCAAAAGGCCUACUGAGUGAUCUUUGUAACUCCAGUUUUUCUAUGGUUUAUUUUCUUUCCAUUUUUUUUUUUUUUUCACCCCCUGUUUUCCAGACCUUCUCUGGUUAGGAAUUACUUCUUUAAAUUUAAACCCUGAAAACUAUUUUCAAACCUUAGUGAUACUGCUUGUUUUUCUGCAUAAAUACUUUUGAUGUAUGCUCACAAAAUUCAAUUUGUUCUUACUUGAACAGAAUAUGAACACAAACUGGGACUUCCUGGGACUGACAAGAUUUGUUCAAUACAUGGCUUCCUUGAGUCAUUGUAAGUUCACAGGCAUUUUUGUCAUGGUAGCAAAUGGGUCAAAGAAGGAAGAAGAUAAUACUCUGAGGAAUAGGCAGAUGUGUGAGAUGAGAAGCAGCACUGAGAAUUUGAGGAUGCUGCCCAUUGGAGGUGGGGAAGGGGUGUCUUUUAAAGGUCUCCUCCUAUGCUAUUCUGCAAAUCUCUUCCAACAGAUUACAGUCUCACCCCAAGACCAGCAGGUGCCCUUUCCUUCCCCCGUACAAUGGCGCCCCAUGAGUACAGCCUCUUCUGUUCAUUUCCCUUGGCAGUGACUCUGCUUUCAUUCUUUUGGCCAGCCAGCUGCUAGAUAUAGGAAAAAGACAGACAGAGGCUCUGGGCUCUAAUUACAAACCUGGGAUGCUGGCGGACGCAAGUGGCAUUCUUAUGAAUGGAAUUAUAAUUUGUAGGCUUUUAGUCAUUAAAGAUCAAGAAGAUUUGUUUAUACUGUAACCUCUGAAUAAGACACAACUAUUGCCACUGAAUGAAGUAUACUACUAUUGUUUGUAGGCUUGUUCUUGCUCAGAAAGCCAAAACAACAACUAAACCAAAGAAACCACAUUAAAGCAGCAACAUCAGGAUGACACUUAUUUUUCAUAAAACAAAUGUAUGCAGCUGUGGGAAUCCUGUUGCAUAUUCUCCCUUUAAUAGGGCAGUUCCUCCAUGGUGGCAGAGUAACUGUGUGAGCACAUCUGAACUGAUGCUGUGAAUUUAGCCAUUGUUGUUACAGGUAUCCUAUUCUGAAAAACAUUAAAGAAAAACAACGCCACUCAGUAGUUUUAGUUUAUCGGCAGAGUUUUGGAAUCCAUGUUUUUACCUGGUGUUUUCUGUUGUUCAGUGCGUUAGGAUAUUCACCAUGGAAAACAGAUAAGAAAAUAUGUUGGUCGUGUAUAUUACUUUAGUCAGUGUGCUACACACAGACGACUAAAAUGCAUAAUUACUUAAGCAAGAGAAGGAAUGUUACUAAUAUGGAGGAUAAGCCUUUAUUCUUUAUAGGCUAAUAAGCAAAAUCUUUAUUUACAGAUCUUUGUUGUCCUGAAGUUCCACAUAAUUGUGACUUUUUUUCAGUGUUAAGCCUCUCUGCAGAUAGACAAUUACCUUGCUCUAAGCCAUAUAUCAUAAAUAAUUAUAGACAAAAAAACUAAUGAUGGUUAUUAAUGAGUAAGUAUGAGAAUUUAAUUAUGUCUUGUGGCUAAAAUAUAAAAGGCAUGAUUUUCAUUUAUGGAAUGUGUCCCUGCCCAUGGCAGGGGGGCUGGAACUUUUAAGUCCUCUCCAACCUAAACCGUUCUAUGACUCAUUUAUACUAAAGUCGCUCUGCCCUCCUGAUGCUUAGGAAAAUGCUUUCAAGAAGAAGUGAAGGAGAAUUAGGUAACAACAAGGAAGGAUACUGUAAACUGGAUUAUAGUCCAAUGUUUCUUUAACAACCUUUAAACAACCUUUUAAAAGUAAAAGCAAGACCUUUUUUCAGUUGUGAAGCUUGCCAGACAGGAGCCUUUGAAAAGACCUCAACGAACUCAAUUAAAAUUAAUACAGGGGUGAGAAAUAUAUUUUCCAAGUCAGGUUAGGUAUUUUAUACUAGAUAUUCUAAUUGAAAAGAAGCAAGGGCUACAAUUUAGUGUUGUAGCAGUGGUGAUACUGAUUAAUAAUAGCUAGACCCUAGUGGUUCUCUGAUACCUUUGUGAUAGGAAAACUUGCUGAAAUAAAAGUUGUAAGUUGAAGUA